AUGGUUUCGAAUGUUUUCUUCAUGGCUUUUCCUAGUAAGACCCAAGCUCCUGGAGUGCUCAAGUCACAUGAUCAAUCGCUCAUUUCUGUUUGUGAAGUUUCUCAGCCAAGAGGAAAACCAUUAAGUAUCAAAUUGCAAGUAGAAAGCAUCCAAGAAGCUGCCUAUUCCAGCACCAGUUCCUGCCAAAGAACCUUAAAUAAACUUGGUGGAGGAAAGAUGUCUGCAAUUACUCUGUACUCAGUAUAUUUAGUUUGUUAGAUUAAUAAUAGAACUUGAUUUCAUCUAACUAAUUAAUCUGAGUUCUAAAAGCAGACAAAAAUAACAGGCUUCUUUUUUUUCCAUUCUGAUUCUCUUUAUGGGUUUUCUUGGCGGGGGGAGGGGUGGGCAGGUAAAAAGAUAGUCAAUGUACUCCUUAGGAUAAAAGAAAAAUCUAUGUGAAGAGUGAAGUAGCUAUUUCUUUAUAUUUUUAACCAAAGAUGAGAGGUAAUGUCAAGCAAUUUCUCUAACAAUCAGUUGCUAUAUACAGCAAUAACAUGGAUAGAAAAGAAUAUUCGAACAGGAAAAAAUAUCAAUACAACUUAAAAACCAUAAUCAAACACUUAAUAUGUUUGCCUUCAUGUUUUUAAAAUGUUUAUUAUUAUCAAUACAAUAUUUUCUGAAGGAAACUGAAGAGUCGCGCCUCUAAAAAAUAAGUCUAAUAAGGUAGACCUCCUUACGUUCUACAUGACUUAAUGAAUUUCGUGACACCUGACCUCUCGUCGCAAGGCACAUUAAUAUCAAUGACUCUCACAAAGCAACAAAUGCUAGAGGCAGAGGCUCUUCUGCCCUGAGAGCUCCCUGUGAGAGAGAAGAGGGUGGGCAGGAGUCAAGCAUGUCCUGGUUCCUAGCAUUUGAAAUGAGAGAGGGUUGGCCAGAAAGCAGAAGAAAACAAGAUCGGAUGCUUUACCUUUGAGUGAAACUUAUUUUCUUGGGAAAAAAACCCACAUGGGUGAGAGUGCAGGUCUCCAUACUCGUUUAAAUGCGCCAGGAAUAAUUUUCAGAGGAACUGGAGUAGAGCUCAAGGCAGAUGUUGAGACUGGGAAACUAGAAAGCAGUACAAGAUUAUUUAGUAAUGAAGGGGCAGAAUAGGCGGAAAGAGGCAAUUCAACAAGACCAGGGAAUAGUUGAAUGUCAGAGUCAGGAUUAAGCACAAAAGAAGUAGAAAGUUGAAUACUGAAACUGUAAGAUGUUAAUGCAUGCAGUCAAGAGUGAAGCAGUAGAGAACUGGCUGAGCACGGAGAACAGGCAAAGCAUCAGGACAGCAAAGAAAACCCUAAAUUAAUGGGCAGAAAAGUUACACACACAAAAGCAAUGAAAGGUCCAAACCCCAAGCUGUGAAAUCACUUGGUUCAAAAUGCCAGUCACAAAUAGUACAUGAAGGAAAAUUUAAAGUAUUUAUGAUUAAUAAAAAGAAUUUCCCUCUCCUGGGACA
rnacentral:lncRNA from 13 species